CGGCGAACGGGUGAGUAAUACAUCGGAACGUGUCCCGUAGUGGGGGAUAGCCCGGCGAAAGCCGGAUUAAUACCGCAUAUGCUCUACGGAGGAAAGUGGGGGACUCGCAAGGGCCUUACGCCAUGGGAGCGGCCGAUGUCCGAUUAGCUUGUUGGCGGGGUAAUGGCCCACCAAGGCGACGAUCGGUAGCUGGUCUGAGAGGAUGGUCAGCCGGACUGGGACUGAGACACGGCCCAG
rnacentral:rRNA from 1 species